rnacentral:snoRNA from 1 species
AUGCUGCAAACAGCAGACUCCUUGCUAGUGCAGACAGCCUACUGCCUGUAUAGAUUCCCUUAAGGGACCUUGGAGAAGCCC